CAGCUCUUUGGAUUUUGUGUUUUUGAUAUAUAUAAAUGGGUUUUAAUAAAGGUGGAAAAAAUCGUGCGCAGGUGAGAUCUGAAGCAAGGAAGGUUCACAACCUGUUCUUUGAUCUACUGAAAAUGUCUUUUCCAGAUUCAGAUUUUGGGGAAGCAAGGAAUGCACUUUCCUUCUCUGGACCAACCCCAACGUUGGUAUCUACACUGUCCCCAAGAGCAGUAGGUAUUAAUCAGGGGAAGAAGCAAAAGCCGGUAAAUGAAGAGGAACCGGAGCCAAGCUCCCCUCAGAGGCCUCAACAACGAGAGAAUUCAAGGAUCAGAGUACAGAUACCUCAGAAAGAAACAAAGCUUGGCGGGACAUCAAGCCACAACGACGACUCUCCAAUUUUAGCUCAUCCAGGGGAACUAGUAAUCUGCAAGAAGAAGAGGAAAGACAGAGAAAAAUCUGCUCCAAGAACCAGAACCGCCGGAUCCAGCAGCCCGGUGUCACCUCCAGCAAUGGUAGGUCGUGGUCUUAGAAGUCCGGUGUCUGGUUCAGGUACAAGGGAGACAAGGCUAGCACAGCAGCAAAGAUGGCCAAACCAAGGCACUCAUCCAAACAACAGCGGUGCGGCUGGUGAUUCAGUGGGAUGGGCUAAUCCGGUGAAGAGGUUAAGGACGGAUUCUGGUAAAAGAAGGCCGAGCCAUUUAUAGACAGAUUAAGCCUCCUUUAUCCUUAGUGCUUAGAGGUGUGAUAUGUAAUGUGGCAAUUGAAAGCAAUGUAGCAGCGAGUCUUGGACCUUUUUGUAAACAAAUAAUAAUUUCUGUAGAUCUCCUUUCUUGGUAUGUUUCUGUUUAGAAGAAUAUGUCCUUUUGUUCGCAGUAUCCCUCCCAUCUUUAGAUAUGUUCCUUGUUUGAUCAAAAAAUAAAAAAGAUAUGUUCCUUGUAUAUGUGAGGAUUAGAACAAACAAAAUGAGAUGGAUUCAUGUCUAAAUUGUUGUAAGACUGCAAAUUGGUACAUGUUAUUUACAUUUGAAGCAAAGAGAGUUUCAAUGAUCCUAAAGAAUUAAACAAGUGUUUACACAUUUACAGAGGAAAGUGCUUUUCUCCUCCAUGCAAUGAACAUGAAUGGAUUAUAAAUUUGGAAAUAAACUAAAUCAAAGUACAAAGAAGAAAGAUUGGAUAUUGUAACGAAGUCAUCAAGGAUCGGCUUUUCCAGCAACUUCAUCGUUGUCAUCGGAGUCUGAACCACGUUCGCUCAUGCUAUCAUCAUCAUCGUCAUCACUUGAGAUCUCCUCAGGUGCUCCAAUGUCCUCUGGUUUAGCAUACCUCUUGCAAUAUUCUUGAAAUGUCAAAGACACCAACCAAUGUGUCAAUGAGAGGUUGAAUAGAAUAGAGAAGCAAGUUGGAAGAAAGAGUGAGCGAGAUGAACCUUUGACUUUCAGUUCGUAGGCAGGACGGUCUCGCAUCAAGAGAGAGGCAGCUUCACCAUUGAAAGGAUCAGAUGGGUUUGGAUAUAGAAGCAGUUGAGGAAGGAAUGACUCGAAGACAUUGAUUAGAUCUGAUCAAACAAAAACAGAUCAAGUUUAGUGGAUGCAAUCAUCAUCAAGGCAUAAAGAAAAAAAGAAAAAGACAGAGAGAAUAUAUAUAUAAAUUACCAAACAUUGGACUCCAUGUCUGGUUUAUUACAUCUAAGCAAACUGCGCCAGAACUGCCAAAAAAAAAACAUGAGAAGCAUAUAUAGGUUGAGAGAGUGAUCAAGAUUGGUAAAUGAUAAGCUCAGUGACUUACGAUUCAUCAACAUUGGGGUGAUAAAUCUUGUUAACGAAACCAACAGAAGGAGAUUUGUAAGGAUAAGCUUCAGGGAGUUCGACUUUGAUCUUCCACACACCUCCUUCCAAGGCCUCGCCUAUAAUUUUUCACAGAAACCCUGCAUCAGCUUAUAACCAGUGUUUUUUUCGAGACGAGACCGCAAGUCUCUAACUCAUAGUUACUCAACUCACUUCUCCAAUACCCCACAAAUCUCUUUAUCCUUUUUUUCUUAACGUUUACUCUAGAGAGCUAGCUGUUAGUUGUGGUGACAUGGCCAUCUCCGGUUGGUCAGCUCUUCUGUGUUCCUUUGAAUGCUUAUCAGCAUUUGCUAUCUUUUCUUUUGCAGAGUGAACUCCAUACUUGGCUGCCAUCUGUUUCAUGCAUAUAUUAUGUUGGUACAAAGGAUCAACGUUCAAAAUUGUUCGCUCAGGUAAUUUUUUUAAAAAAGCUGUGUUUACUCCAGAUUUUGUUUUGAAAUUGUUGAUUGACACAUCCCCUGGUCUCAUAAACACAGGAAGUUUGCGCCAUGAAGUUCAAUGUCCUCGUUACAACUUAUGAGUUCAUUAUGUAUGAUCGAUCAAAACUCUCAAAAGUUGAUUGGAAAUACAUCAUAAUUGAUGAAGCACAACGGAUGAAGGACAGAGAGUCUGUUUUGGCCCGAGAUCUUGACCGGUACCGCUGCCAACGGAGAUUACUUCUCACUGGGACACCUUUACAGGUUGGUAACAGUACAUCUAACAACUAAAAACCAAGAUUCUUUGAGUUUUCAUAUUAUGUUUAGUAAAUAGAUGAAUCUUAUUGUGCUUUUAUUAAAUCCUGUAGAACGAUCUGAAAGAGCUGUGGUCAUUAUUGAAUCUGCUCCUUCCUGAUGUCUUUGACAAUCGAAAAGCAUUUCAUGAUUGGUUCGCGCAACCCUUUCAAAGAGAAGGUCCUGCGCAUAAUAUAGAGGAUGACUGGCUGGAAACUGAGAAAAAGGUCAUUGUCAUUCACAGGCUUCAUCAAAUUUUAGAGCCGUUCAUGCUUAGACGUCGUGUUGAGGAUGUUGAAGGUUCACUUCCCCCUAAGGUAGGUUCUGUGGUAUUAGCUGCCGUUAUAUUUUCGCCUAGAUGAUUCUUCUGAUAAUGCUUUCGGCUGCAGGUUUCCGUAGUUUUAAGAUGUAGAAUGUCUGCUAUACAGAGUGCCGUUUAUGAUUGGAUUAAAGCUACCGGAACUCUAAGAGUUGAUCCAGACGAUGAAAAACUUAGGGCUCAGAAGAGUUCGAUCUACCAAGCCAAGAUAUACAGAACUUUAAAUAAUAGGUGCAUGGAGUUGAGGAAAACAUGUAAUCAUCCUUUGCUCAAUUAUCCAUAUUUCAAUGAUCUUUCCAAGGAUUUUCUCGUGAGGUCAUGUGGAAAAUUGUGGAUUCUGGAUAGAAUUCUUAUAAAGCUACAGAGGACAGGCCAUCGGGUGUUGCUCUUCAGUACGAUGACGAAACUCCUUGAUAUCUUGGAAGAGUAUUUGCAAUGGCGGAGGCUUGUAUACAGAAGAAUAGAUGGGACUACCAGCCUGGAAGAUCGGGAAUCAGCUAUUGUGGAUUUCAAUGAUCCUGAUACUGAUUGUUUUAUUUUCCUGCUUAGUAUACGUGCAGCUGGAAGGGGUCUCAACCUUCAGACUGCUGACACAGUUGUGAUAUAUGAUCCGGAUCCAAACCCCAAGAAUGAGGAACAAGCAGUUGCCAGAGCCCAUCGUAUUGGGCAGACAAGGGAAGUAAAAGUAAUUUAUAUGGAGGCAGUUGUUGAAAAAUUUUCCAGCCAUCAAAAGGAGGACGAGCUUAGAAGUGGUGGUUCAAUAGACGUAGAGGAUGAUUUGGCUGGGAAAGACCGGUAUAUAGGAUCUAUUGAGGGUCUCAUUAGGAAUAAUAUUCAACAGUACAAGAUCGACAUGGCUGAUGAAGUCAUUAAUGCUGGGCGUUUUGACCAAAGGACGACUCAUGAAGAGCGGCGUAUGACAUUGGAGACUUUAUUGCAUGAUGAAGAGAGAUAUCAAGAAACUGUCCAUGAUGUACCUUCUCUCCAUGAGGUGAACAGGAUGAUUGCCAGAAGCGAGGAGGAAGUUGAGUUAUUUGAUCAGAUGGAUGAAGAAUUUGACUGGACCGAGGAGAUGACUUCUCAUGAGCAGGUGCCUAAGUGGCUUCGAGCUAGCACCAGAGAGGUGAAUACUACCGUUGCUGAUUUGUCUAAGAAACCGUCAAAGAACAUGUUAUCGAGCAGUAAUCUGAUCGUGCAAACUGCUGGGCCUGGAGGUGAGAGAAAAAGGGGUCGGCCCAAGAGCAAAAAGAUUAACUACAAGGAAAUUGAAGAUGACAUUGGAGGAUACUCUGAGGAAAGCUCUGAGGAAAGGAACAUUGAUUCUGGGAAUGAAGAAGAGGGAGACAUUGAACAAUUUGAUGAUGAUGAACUAAUUGGUGCUCUUGGUAAUCACCAAACCAACAAAGACGAAUCUGAUGGAGAGAACCCUGUCCGCGGUUAUGAUUAUCCUCAGCGGUCUGGUUGUUAUGAAAAAAUUACUCCACGGGAUGAUGCUGGUUCUUCAGGAUCUUCGCCAGAAAGUCAUAGAUCGAAAGAGAUGGCUUCUCCAGUUUCUUCACGAAAGUUUGGGUCUUUGUCUGCAUUGGACACUAGGCCAGGUUCUGUCUCAAAAAGACUGGUAGGCACCUGAUCCUGUCUCGCAGGCCUCUCUACUUCUUUAUAGUUUGUGUAAUUUUUGCUUCUUUAAUUUUGUUGAACAGGUGGAUGAUACAGAAGAUGGGGAAAUAGCAGCAUCGGGGGAUUCUCACAUAGAUCUCCAACGAUCAGGAAGUUGGGCCCAUGAGCGUGAUGAAGGAGAAGAACAGGUUUUGCAACCUACAAUAAAGCGGAAACGGAGUAUUCGUCUAAGACCCCGUCAAACAGGAGAAAGAAUAGACGGUACUGAUAUGCCUGCAGCUCAGCCAUUGCAAGUCGAUCGUAGCUAUCGAUCAAAAUUGAGGACAGUUGUUGACUCGCAUGGUUCAAGACAAGAACAGAGUGAUUCAUCCUCGAGACUGAGGAGUUUACCUGGAAAGAAGGUAGCUAAUACUUCCAAGCUUCAUGUAUCAUCACCAAAAUCUGGUAGAUUGAAUACUACACAGCUUCCCCUGGAGGACAACACUGAAGCUGCCAGAGAAACAUGGGAUGGAACUAGUCCUAUUGGCUCUUCAAAUGCAGGUGCAAGAAUGUCCCACAACAUACAAAAACGGGUAUGUUCUGUCAAAUAGAAUAAAAUUUCAUUGCAUUCUCUCUUAUAUUGUCGAUGUUUCAGUAAACCCAUUGCUUGCAUGUGCAGUGCAAAACGGUCAUUAGCAAACUCCAAAGGAGAAUCGACAAAGAAGGUCAGCAGAUUGUGCCUAUGCUGACAAAUUUGUGGAAGAGAAUUCAGACUGGUUAUGCAGCUGGAGGUGUAAAUAAUCUUUUGGAACUGCGAGAGAUAGAUCACCGGUUAGAAAGGCUAGAGUAUGCAGGGGUUAUGGAACUCGCAUCUGACGUGCAGUAUAUGCUAAGAGGAGCAAUGCAGUUCUAUGGAUUCUCGCACGAGGUUUAGUUUUUGCAGCUCUUUGGAUUUUGUGUUUUUGAUAUAUAUAAAUGGGUUUUAAUAAAGGUGGAAAAAAUCGUGCGCAGGUGAGAUCUGAAGCAAGGAAGGUUCACAACCUGUUCUUUGAUCUACUGAAAAUGUCUUUUCCAGAUUCAGAUUUUGGGGAAGCAAGGAAUGCACUUUCCUUCUCUGGACCAACCCCAACGUUGGUAUCUACACUGUCCCCAAGAGCAGUAGGUAUUAAUCAGGGGAAGAAGCAAAAGCCGGUAAAUGAAGAGGAACCGGAGCCAAGCUCCCCUCAGAGGCCUCAACAACGAGAGAAUUCAAGGAUCAGAGUACAGAUACCUCAGAAAGAAACAAAGCUUGGCGGGACAUCAAGCCACAACGACGACUCUCCAAUUUUAGCUCAUCCAGGGGAACUAGUAAUCUGCAAGAAGAAGAGGAAAGACAGAGAAAAAUCUGCUCCAAGAACCAGAACCGCCGGAUCCAGCAGCCCGGUGUCACCUCCAGCAAUGGUAGGUCGUGGUCUUAGAAGUCCGGUGUCUGGUUCAGGUACAAGGGAGACAAGGCUAGCACAGCAGCAAAGAUGGCCAAACCAAGGCACUCAUCCAAACAACAGCGGUGCGGCUGGUGAUUCAGUGGGAUGGGC
rnacentral:lncRNA from 1 species